ACAUUCCAUUGGGCAACCUGCGGCAACCUGCUUUACGGCUUGGCAUUAUACUCUAUUGGUUUAUACUGCAUGCGCUUGUUGCUACUUUUGCAAUUUGAAAAGCCAAAUGGUCAGAGAUCCUUGUCAGGUGGUUCACAUUUGGUUGGGAUGCAAGAUGGGCCCCUAGUCCCAACUAUGAUUAUGCAUUUAUUGGGGUAUUAAGUUGGAAGCUUAAUCUGCAAUUUUUUCUCCUUCCUAGAUGUGGUUAGAUUGAUUUAUUAUUUUGCUCAACCAAGCAAUUCAGAUUCCCAUUUUUUACUGUAACGAAUCUCGAAAGCUUGGUUGCAUCUAAUAAGAAAAAAGAAAUUCCAUCAUAGAGAUCAUAGGUCAAAAUUUGUUUACCUCAAUACCCAACCAAAGGUUGUACACAUGAUAGCUGUUAUUAUUAUAGGUUCUCUUAUUAAAAUUAGAGGGAAUUUAGCUGUAACAAAAGCUCCAAAGUAGUGCUUUUAUGGUAUUAUGUAAUGUAAAUUCCAGGGAUAUAUGUGAAGGGUUUGACUCGGUUUUUUGCAA